rnacentral:lncRNA from 1 species
ACGUUGAAGCUUCAAAAUCAUGAUGUGUUGUAAAUUCGUACAAUUCAACAAGACUUGAGCUAUUCUCUCUAGAUGGCAUAUGGUUAUUUAUCCUCUUUCGAAAAUCAAUGCACUCAAUUUGUACACGAUUGUACCGAUCUCUUUCUCUUCGAUUAUGUUGUUGACAAAUAAAGGCUUGGUAUGACUCGCUAAUAGUUUGAGAGAUAGCUUCAAGGUUCACUAAAUCAACAUCUCCAUUAACAAAUGGUUCAAAAAUAUUCAUUCAACACUAACAAUUACUAUAGAAUAUUUGCACUCCAACUUCAACAAUAGAAACUGAAAGCAUUAGAAAGAAAUAAUUCUACAUAUGUUAAAACAUAUGUGCAAUAAAAAUAAAAUCCACAUUAUGCAACAAUGACUAAAUAUAUAUUUUAGAAAGAAAGAAAAAAGUGCGUUCAAAAAAUACACAAACAAAGCUCAAGAACCAGCAACUAUUACAAAUUUUACAAGUUACCAUAAAUAAAUAAUCAAAAUAAACAUGAUGUAUUAACAUAUGAACAAAAACCUAGACAGUUCAAUUGGAAAAAUUUACCUAAUAUAAAGUGCACUACUGUAGUCAUCAAUUAGAACCACCGGAAUACAAUCUAACACCAUACACAUAAGAACAAUAAAUACAAAUUAGAGUUUGCAAUUUGCCAAUAAUAGUUGAAUGAUAAACACUAUAAUAAAAACUUUAGGAAAAAAUACAAAACAAACUAUAAACUAAAAAUAGAACUCAACAAAAUCUUAAAAAACAACAAUAAUAAAUAAAUAAAUGAAAAAGAAAUAACAUACUUAAAGAUAACACAGUUCAAUUGAUGUUUAAAUUUUUAAAAUUCUUACUUUGAGAAUGAUAUCUUACAACCUUGAACAGAAAUAAAAACAAAUACAAUAUUAACGGAACCAAUAAAGUCAUAUAGAAUGAUGAAAAUUAUAACAAAUAAAGGAAAAUUAGAACCAAAAGAAGAAAACACACACAAAAGUAUUGACAAUAAUUAAUUACUUUCAAUCGAGUUGACAAAUUGCAUCAAAACAAAUGAAUCGCAACGAUUAACCCUCCAAAUCUCAAUACACAUAAUUACACCAACUAGAUUAGCAUCAUACAACAAAAUUAGAUGCUUACCAAUUUCAGUAAUUUGUUUGAAUUUUACCUUUGUUGUCCUUCUUGCGGCUAGGUUUCGUUUGAUUUGUCCAGAAAGGAACUUGGAAAAAAGCAAGACAAACAUAAAAGGAGUGAAUGUGAAGAGAGAGAAAGCAAAAUGCCAUUUAGCACCCGUUUGAGCCCCCAUUGAAAUGCAUUUUUGGCCAUUUUCAAUGGUGGGGGGCCAUAUUGACAAAAGUGUUGGAAUUUAAUUAAUUUUUGCUCACAUUUACAGGUCCAUGAAAUUAUAUUCCCGACUUAGCCUUCAAA